rnacentral:lncRNA from 1 species
UCACUGUAAACAUAAACAUAGAUUAUUUGUAAAGAUUUCAUCAACUUAGUUGAAUGAGCAUGUAUUGAGAAGACAGAAGAAGAAAUCUAGGAAAUAGAUGUCAUGAUCUUUAUGCAAGCAUGCUUGUAUUCAAGCUAGAAAAAGCCGUUAAAUAUAUUAAAAUAAAUAAAUAAGCAAAAAAAAAAAAAACGUAGGGGCUGUUUGAGCCCCUUUGUUUUCAAAAAUGCAUUUUGAAAUAGUGUUAUGAUAGAAAAU